AUUUCUUGAUCUGCCGGUCGAAAGAGCCUGAUAUAUGUGGAUCGCUUGAUCCGACAAUCGAUGGAGGCCAACAAAAGUGGCUCAUCGAGGGGAAAAGCUAUAUAUCGCAUAUUUGAUGAUUCUGCACCUAUCAUCUCAAGGGUAUCAGGCAGGCCGUGCUGGGAGAUUCCUGGCCCAAUAAAGGUAACCAAUUAGGUAUUCCAAGUGCACCUAUCAUCUCAAGGGUACCAGGCAGGCCGUGCGGGGAGAUUCCUGGCCCAAUAAAGGUAACCAAUUAGGUACAAGUGGACAAUGUAUGAGAGUGUUCACGUAGGUUUGCAUGCACGCAUGUAAAGCGGAUUUGCUCUGUUUUCCGUUGCUUUUUUUUCUCUUGUUGUUUUCCUUUCAUUCAUUUUCUUCCGUUCUUUCUUUUUUCUUGUCUCUUGUUUUAUUUUUCUAUCACUAUUCCUUUUAUUUUUACUUUUUCCUUUCUCUUUUAUUUAUUUAUUUCUUUUCAUCCUUUCUUCUUUUUCUUGUUCUCUUUUUCUUUCUUUUUUCCUUCUCUCUUCUUUUCUUUUCUUUACCAUUUUCUGAUUACACACUUUUUCUUAUUCCUUUUUCUUCCUUUUUCUCUCUUUUUGUUUCAUUUUCCUUUUUAUUAGCUUAAUUCCUGUUUUGGUUUUUAUUUUAAUUUAGAUUCUUUUCUAUAUAUUCCUUUGUGGUACGUAAUUUAUCUUUCCUUUUUCCUUUCUCAAUUCCUUUAUUUAUUUUUACUCAUUCUCUUUUAUUUUUUUAUGAGCCUGUAAUUUCUUUAGCGAUAGAUUCAAAAUUAUAUUUUAAAGUAAUUUACUAGAUAAUUUUGAUCACUUAGUAUAUUUUGUUGUUCUCUAUAGACUUAUUAGUUCGUAGUGUAAAAUUAUGUAUUCAAUUUAUAGGCUCAUUCUUUCACAUAGCUGACUCAUUUAUUUGCCUUUUAUAGAUUGAAUUCGUCAAGGAUAUAGACUUGUUUAAUUGUUAAAUACUAACUUUUUUCUUAUUCUUUCUAUAACAAAUUUUUGGCCAUGUAUAAAUAUUUUUGUUUGCCUAUUGUGAUAUGAAUUGGUCAACUAUGUAGAUUCGUAUGUUAAAUUAUUUGUUCAUUUUAUAGACUUGCAGAUUCAUGGAUUACAAUAUUGUUAUAUGUCCAUAAUGCAUUUGUUUCAAGUGUACAAUAUUUUAUUCGGUAGGUUUAUAUAAUUUUUUGAUGUGUAUAAAUGCUUGUUCUGUGAGUUCCUACAAUUUGUUCAAGAUAUAUAGAUUCUUUGUUCCGUUACUUCAUAUAAUUUGUUCAAUGUGUACUACUAUUUUGUUCUAUGAGUUCAUUUGUUCUAUGAGUAUAAUUUUUUCCUUAACUUCGUAUAAUUUGUUCCUGAUAUAUGCAAAAAAGUUUUCCAACUUAAUGCUCAUAUUCUACUAUUUUAUUUUACAAUAUCAAUUUUUAAAUCUUUUGUUUGAUUAAAUUGUUCUUUGUAUGUCUCUUUUAUUUGCAUUAUAUCAUUUUACUGAUGUUUAGUAUUUUAUUCGUUAUUUAUAAUUAUUUGUUCAUCAUGUUAUUUUGUUUGUUUACAUUAGACCAUUAUUUAUUCUAUUUAUUCAAGUAUUUUGUUCGCUGUAAUCAUGAUGUGAACCCGUUGGGUUGAUUUUCGAUUUUUCGAUGAGAGAAGGUGAAUAACUCGAUCUGGGGAUGGGGAUGACGUUCACGGCCCGAUUACAACCAUUCAAGGAUGCUGCGGCUUAGCAACCGAUACACCACCUCCAAUGGUCGUCGCGAUCUUGUGAAGUAUGAUCAACCAAACUACUAGGGUAAUUUCUGCGAGCAAUCGAGAAACAAGAACAAGGAACUCAAUUGUAAAUAUGGAGAUAAAAACCAAUCUGAAAUCACAAAGUUAGGGUUUUGAAUCGAGUAAAACGGAUAGUCUAGUCGACACACGUGUCUACAAGGAAGUAGCAAUGGCUAAACUUUCAACAAAACAAAAUCCUAUCUGUCCGUGGCGGCUCUAAUCCUUAUUAAUACAUAAGAGGAUGACCAAGGGGUCUUGGUGUCGUGCUCCAACCCUAGGACGUGUCUUUAUUGGAUCUGACUUGAUACAAGGUCCAUCGGGCCAAAAUAGGGUGACACAGCACCAUAGGUUGAAAACGUCCCUGGAACAAAUCGACAAUUGCGACCGUCUUAGAAAAGAUAUGACCAUGAGUCCAGAUUUAUAUGAAAAUAGACUUGAUAAGGAUUCCAUGAAAUACUUGAACGCCUCAAUCCGAGUUCAUAUGCGAUCAUGGUGACCGUCACAAGUUGGUGUUGUUCUGCAGUCUGAAUUCAGCCCCGAAACGUGUUGGAUUUGAUCUCUUUCUUUCCUUGGGCCAAAACUGAUGUGGUGGCCUAGUGGGGAACGCUGGGAAUUCUUGGACUUGGUCCCUAGUCAACUUCUUUGGACCUCUAUGCCUUCCAUUUGUGUUUAGCACUCUUUUUGAUCCACGUAUGUAUUUCUAAAAAUGACAAUGAACACACAUCAUGGUGUAACAUCAAUUCAUCAAAUGUAUCAAAUAUAAUCAUGAUAAAGAAUUGUUUCACCUUUGAAUCAAAAGUUGCUAAUGUGGUUGUAUCUGAGCAGGUGAUAUCCUCAUCAAAUCAAAAUUAAUAUUUCGUAUUUAAAAAUGAUUUUAAAACUUUUAUCCAAAAAUAUAGUCAAGUGUGAUUUUGUUUUGAAUAUGUUGUCAAAAGAAACACAGUGAUGCAAUCGGAAUCUAAUUUGGAUGCUUGGUUUAUGAUUUUUGGUUUUUGUUUUAAUUUCAAAACUGCGUGCAUGUGGGUAUAUGUUUUUGUUCCGUGAGUUCGUAUAAUCUGUUCAAUGUGUAUGAUUAUUUUAUUCCUUGAGUUUGUAGAAUUUGUUCCACGUGUAUGUGUCUCACAGAAAAUAUGCAACCUUAAUUAAAAAUGCAAAUAAAUAAAUCCAUCGAAAUAUAGUCAAGUGGGAUCUUUUUGUGAAGAUUUUACUGUAAUUGGAAUUUAAUUUUGAUUCUCGAUGUAAAAUUUAUAUUUUUUAUAUUUCAAACAGUUUUGUAUUUGGGAUGAUAUCAUCACUUUUAUCUAUUUCUGCAUACAUGCACCAGCUCAGUGACAAUCCGUGAAGAAAACCGUCUUGUUGGGCUGAAUUAUGGCUUGCUAAUCGCAGUUUCUCCGAUCAAACGUGCGGUGAUAAAUAUAGAAGGCGACGUUACGGGAUUUACGUAUAGACGCACCCUCAUCGUGGUCCAUGCAGCAACAAACCCCAACGUUGCGCAUGAGAAAUACGAUCUCAGCAAUUGUAUUGCCUCUGCGAUGCUCAGCCUUGCCUCUCAGCAAUUUCUCUUGGCCGAGAGCUUCCCAGCAACACAUGCCCCAAUCCAUCAGCGGUCUCACAGAAGAGCGUGGCAUAGUGACUGGCAGUGGCAGCUGCUAAACUCCAAGCGUCAUGGUCCCGUCGCUAGUCGCUGCCAUGCUCCAAGUUGCUGUUCGUCAGUGUUCUCAUCCCCCGAGCCUCCCCAGCCAAGAGUUCUCAACGUGGCUUGUACUUGGGCCGCACUUCCUGAGCCACAUACCACGGCUGGUCCACAUGUCGGUCGCCAUGGCAUGCCAUGUUGCCCGGCGUCAUUGGUCCAGAUCAGAGCGCAAAGAAAGCGAACUAUACCCCUAAUCCACAGGCUCAAAAUCUUGUGGCGCUCAGUACCAAGUGCCUCCGGCUCCACCCGUUCUUCCUAUUUACUUGCCACUCUCUCCUACCUUGUCACUAGCACUAGUCUUCUAAGUGAUCUUGCGAUCGACCUCGACCCCGAGAAGCACGCUAGCUAGCAAUGGAGACGUCUUGCUUCUUGACAUCCAAACCAUCCCCCAAGAGCAUGACGAUGCCAUCGCCGGCCAGCGUCGCCAAGCCCAAGCCGCAUCUUCUCUUCAGCAACAAGCGUGCGAGCUCGUCCGUCACUUGUGAGUGAUCUCCGGCUCAUCUCGUGAUGUUUUUUUUUCUUGCUCAAUGCUGUGCUCACCAGAUCGAUGCAAACUUGGUUAUGCGUGCAGGUUGCAGCUUCAACGCGCGGGCUUCCGAGGAUGGCGCUGUUCCGGUGAUCGAUGCCGACUGGCGGUCCUUCCGCGCGCAGCUCUACUUCAACGAGCAGUACGCCAAAAGCGUGAACCCGGCCGUGGCCGCGAUGCCGCCGCAGGCGGUGAAGAUCGGCGAGAAGUGGGCGCACCCGCUGGUGGAGCCCGAGAAGGGGUGCCUCCUUAUCGCCACGGAGAAGCUGGACGGGUCGCACAUCUUCGAGCGCACGGUGAUCCUGCUCCUCUCCGCCGGCGUGCUGGGCCCUGUAGGCGUGAUCCUGAACCGCCCGUCGCUCAUGUCCAUCAAGGAGGCGGAGUCCAUCUUCGCAGACGACGCUGACAUCGCGGGCGCCUUCUCGGGCCGGCCGCUCUUCUUCGGUGGGCCGCUGGAGGAGUGCUUCUUCAUCCUGGGACCGCGGGCCGCCGCCGGCAGCGACGUAGUGGCGCGGACGGGGCUGUUCGAGGAGGUGAUGCCGGGCCUGCACUACGGCACGCGGGAGAGCGUCCGGUGCGCCGCGGAGCUGGCCAAGCGCGGCGUGGUGGGCGUCCGGGACUUCCGCUUCUUCGACGGCUUCUGCGGGUGGGAACGGGAGCAGCUGCGCGACGAGGUGCGCGCGGGGCUCUGGCGCGUCGCUGCGUGCAGUCCCGCCGUGCUGGGGCUCGCCAGCGUCGUCAAGGGCGGCCUUUGGGACGAGGUGCGAGGACUCGUUAGGGAGAGGAGGGUGUGGUGACUUAGUCAUGGGUAGGCGAGGCGUGUGUGCGCGCCGGUGGACGUCCAAGUCCCAAAGCUCGCUUUGUGAUUAUUUAAUCAAUUAACUUGCAAGUAAAUUAAUCAAUCAAUGCUUCGGGAUGAAAGAUUUCUGUUAGAUCAGUCAGAUGACAUUAACAGUGAAUGAUAUUCGAACCUUGUGCGCGCCAUCCGUCCAGGUGACCGAGCCGUGCGCGCGUACCCUUUUGCUAGCGCCGGCACUUCCAUGGAAGCUCACCUCGAACUUUGCAGUGGCCCCCUGUGCGAGAACGCCAGCCGCUUCGGCGCUAUGCGCGCCGUCAGGCCCGGCGGCGCCUCCACCGUGGCUGCAUAUGUCGCAUUAAACGACCUUGUUUGUGACCGUGCGCGCAAUGGUGACCGUGUUAGAGAUAUAUUUAGAGAUAAGCUAAAAAUAGAUUUGU
rnacentral:lncRNA from 1 species